rnacentral:rRNA from 1 species
UACGUAGGGGGGCAAGCGUUGUCCGGAAUCAUUGGGCGUAAAGCGCGUGUAGGCGGUCCGGUAAGUCGGUUGUGAAAGUCCAGGGCUCAACCCUGGGAUGCCGAUCGAUACUGCCGGACUAGAGUCCGGAAGAGGCGAGUGGAAUUCCCCGGUGUAGCGGUGAAAUGCGCCAGAUAUCGGGAGGAACACCAAUGGCGAAGGCAGCUCGCUGGGACGGUACUGACGCUGAGACGCGAAAGCGUGGGGAGCAAACAGG